rnacentral:rRNA from 1 species
AGUCAAGCUAAUAAGGGCAUACGGCGGAUGCCUAGGCGCCAACAGCCGAAGAAGGACGGGGUAAGCUCCGAAAAGCCAUGGGGAGCCGCAAGCAGGCAUAGAUCCA